GACAGAGGGUGCAAACGUUGUUCGGAAUUACUGGGCGUAAAGCGUGCGCAGGCGGUUCGUGAUGUCUGAUGUGAAAGCCCCGGGCUCAACCUGGGAAUGGCAUUGGAAACUAGCGGGCUGGAGUGUGGCAGAGGGGGGUGGAAUUCCACGUGUAGCAGUGAAAUGCGUAGAGAUGUGGAGGAACACCGAUGGCGAAGGCAGCCCCCUGGGCUAACACUGACGCUCAUGCACGAAAGCGUGGGGAGCAAACAGG
rnacentral:rRNA from 1 species